GCAACCAGUUCUUCUUAUUCUUCUUGUCUCUUGUUUUCUUUCUUUUUCCUUUUCCUUUCACCUAUCUUUUCUUGGACAUUUUGGGGAAGAUUAGAACAGGGAGAUGGUGCAUUAGGUUGGAGAAGAUGACCAAUUGAUAUUGAAGGAUUUUCUACAAUUUCUCUCUUUAUCGAUAAGUUUUUCUUCUCACUUUUUCCAUCAAUGUUUUAUAAGAAAUUAUUAGUUAUUUGUGAAUAUUUCAUAGGUAACUAAUUAUAUUUGUGAUUGGGGAUAUUUCAAACCCAAGUUAUGAUUUUCAACUAAUUAGUGC
rnacentral:lncRNA from 1 species